UGAAGUGAUGGCAAGUGGGCCCCUGUUAAAUGCUAGCAUUGUAGUUGUGCGUGGGCCCCCUUUGUCUCCUGGCAACCAAUAUUUUUAGACCCAGUCCACCACUGGGUCGGAGCAAGGGUUUCGCCCUGAAACAUCACCUAUUCCUUUUCCUCAGAGACGCUGCCCGCCCCGUUUGGACUGUUACUCCAGCUGUCUGUGUGUGUGUGUGUGUGUGUGUUGUGUGAGACAGAGAUAGUUUAAUUCCCCGCAGGAGUCGACGCCCACCUGAGCGACGCUGUCCAAUCCCUUUCAUUGGAGGUGCGGCUCUUCCACCCCUUGUGCUAACCUUCCGCCUGGUGUGCUCUUAAAUGAAUCGUUUUACUUUUCAUCUAAUAUUGCAAUGUGCAUGCUCACUCGUGUUACACGGAUGGCGCGCAGUCGCCUGUCUCCAGUGCUGGGCUGGGCUGGGCUGACAUGUUGCUUUGCUUCGGCUGGCGGGUCGCGGCUGCACCUUGACUUUCCCGCCCGCCCGCACCAGGGACAGUGUCUGGGGGCCGGGGCCAGAGGGAGGUCAGUCAGUCAGGUAGGGACUGCAGCCGGAGUUCAGCUUCCCACUCUCUCACUGAACUUGGGUCUCGCCGGCCCCGACUCAAGAGGACAGCACAACAGGAUUUCACUCCAGCGUAUCUUUCAAAGUUCCCUGCCAGACAGCCAUGUCCACAAAUCGUGUUCGAAUGUCAAUGGGAACUAGCCAAGGAUGGAAACCAAGUUUGGUGAAGAUAAUCAUCCCAACCCCAACACAGCAAUGAAGAGGUUCCUCUGGCAGUGUCUUAGGCCCUACCGUCUUCAAGGGUUUCACCUGUGUUUCUGUUAUAAAUUAAUCCUUGUCAAUGACAUUCAAAUAACACCAAAAAAGAUGCAACUGUAUUGUAAGGUAUCGAGUCCAUAAUGUGCCUUGUGCCAGCAAAUGUAAAGCUACUAAAGCUCAAUAUUUAGUUUCCAAAAUAAAACAUUAUCAUUCUGUG